rnacentral:rRNA from 1 species
AUUUGAAAUCUCCGACGCUUGCGUCGGCGAGUUGUAGUUGCCAGAAGCACUUUCUAGGCGGAUCGACCGUGCCUAAGUUGCUUGGAACAGCACGUCGCAGAGGGUGACAACCCCGUCUGUGGCGCGGUCGGCCGCUCACGAUGUGCUUUCGAAGAGUCGGGUUGUUUGGGAAUGCAGCCCAAAACGGGUGGUAAACUCCAUCUAAAGCUAAAUACUGGCGUGAGACCGAUAGCGAACAAGUACCGUGAGGGAAAGAUGAAAAGAACUUUGAAAAGAGAGUUAAAAAGUACGUGAAACCGUUGGAAGGGAAACGAAUGGACUCAGCAAUGCGCCGUUUGAGAUUCAGCCGGCCGGCGGGAUCGGCUCGGGGUUUGCGGAUCUGAAUAGACCGCGGCCACGGGUUCGUUUCUCCUGGCCGUCGCACUUCUCUUGGGCGCGAGUCAACGUCGGUUGGGACUGGGUCUGAAAGGUGCCGGGAAGGUAAGUCCGUGCGUCUCCUCGGGGGCGUUCGGUCCGUUACAGCCCGGUUCUCUCAUGGCUCGGGCCCGACCGUGGCGUUGCAGCGCAUGCCUCUUGUGGCUAGGGUCCCAUCCGUCCGGCCGGUUGUCGAAUGUGGUGGACUGCUUGCAGUGCUCCGCGACUGCUGCCGGUCGUUCGGGUGGUGAUCUCGU